AGUCUCAGUUCGGAUCGCAGGCUGCAACCCGCCUGCGUGAAGCCGGAAUUGCUAGUAAUCGCGGAUCAGCAUGCCGCGGUGAAUACGUUCCCGGGCCUUGUACACACCGCCCGUCACACCAUGAGAGCCGGGGGGACCCGAAGUCCGUAGCCUAACCGCAAGGAGGGCGCGGCCGAAGGUAAAACUGGUGAUUGGGGUGAAGUCGUAACAAGGUACC
rnacentral:rRNA from 1 species